GCCCCUAUGGUGUAAGUUGGUAGCACUCUUGGCUUUUACCCUUGAAACGUCGGUUCGAACCCGGCUGGGGGCACCA
rnacentral:tRNA from 4 species